CUAUUAUUGACUAUCAAUGCUCCAGUGAAUUGCGGUGAUAUUAUCGUUAUCACCUAUUCUGGAUAUAAUCAGCUCUCGCGUUUUACGAUAAUCAGCAUGACCCACGAGCUCGGCACGAAUUUCUUUAUAGCCCUGUUCCUGAGCGGGGACCGAACCUAACCCUUGUAAACAGAUCGCGGCCUCUUUUACGAUAUUCAGUAACCACUGACGAACCGCGCUCUCAUCUUCUUUAUUACAGGUUACUUUCAGGAUAUAACGUUUUUCUGCCUCGGCGGAUACCGGGAGUUGAUUUAUACGCUGCGCCGCUUCACGCAAUAAAAU
rnacentral:misc_RNA from 1 species